UACGGAGGGUGCAAGCAUUAAUCGGAUUUACUGGGCGUAAAGGGCGCGUAGGCGGCAAUUUAAGUCAUCUGUGAAAUCUCCGGGCUUAACUCGGAAUGGUCAGGUGAUACUGCUUUGCUAGAGUGCAGAAGGGGCAAUCGGAAUUCUUGGUGUAGCGGUGAAAUGCGUAGAUAUCAAGAGGAACACCUGAGGUGAGACGGUUGCUGGCUGACACGUAACGCUGAGGCGCGAAGCUAGGAGCAACGG
rnacentral:rRNA from 1 species